rnacentral:tmRNA from 1 species
GGGGAUGAUCCGGUUUCGACGGGAAUAUCGGAGGGUGAACUAGCGAGCCGCAGACCCUGUACUGCGUAAAAACGGGGAAAAACAAUAACUGACAAUACCAAUUACGCUUUCGCGGCUUAAUGCCGCGCGUCGGCCCUGACCGCCUGCAGAUCAGGUCACCGGCGUCAAGAUUGCAGGGAACGAGCAUCGCCUAAGCUUUGCAGCGAUGUCCGUAAUCAUGAAGCUACCCUGACGGCAGUUUGUCCGCGGACGGCCGGAUAGGGGAAACCAAACCACGGACUGCGCUCGGAGAAGAUUCAUCGGACGGAUUUUCGGACAGGGGUUCGACUCCCCUCAUCUCCAC